rnacentral:rRNA from 1 species
UGGGGAAUAUUGGACAAUGGGCGCAAGCCUGAUCCAGCCAUGCCGCGUGAACGAUGAAGGCCUUAGGGUUGUAAAGUUCUUUUGUCAGGGAAGAUAAUGACGGUACCUGAAGAAUAAGCACCGGCUAACUUCGUGCCAGCAGCCGCGGUAAUACGAAGGGUGCUAGCGUUGUUCGGAAUCACUGGGCGUAAAGCGCGCGUAGGCGGCUUAACAAGUCAGAGGUGAAAGCCUGGAGCUCAACUCCAGAACUGCCUUUGAAGCUGUUAAGCUUGAGUGUCGGAGGGGAUAGCGGAAUUUCUAAUGUAGAGGUGAAAUUCGUAGAUAUUAGAAGGAACACCGGUGGCGAAGGCGGCUAUCUGGACGACAACUGACGCUGAGGUGCGAAAGCGUGGGGAGCAAACAGGAUUAGAUACCCGAGUAUUCCCUGAGCGGGCUGGCAAGGCGCAU